rnacentral:tRNA from 1 species
AUAUAGCUGGCUUAGUGGUUAGAGCUUAGGUCUCGUAGCCGGAAGGUCGCAGGAUCGAAUCCCGCUACAGG